rnacentral:lncRNA from 1 species
AAAGGAGUAAAGGAUGAUGUCCAGGUUUUGAGCCUUGGCAACCCCAUGGUCAGUGAUGACAUUGACUGAAUUGGUAAAGACUUAAUGAGGAAUAGUCAUGGAAAGGGCUCUGAGGAUGGCAGGAACCAAUAAUUUUAUUUUGCACAUGUUAAAUUUGAGAUGACCGGUAGAGUAGACAUCUACAUUCUGAUGUCAAGUAGGCAUUUAAACAUGUGUGUCCAGAGUCCAAGGGAGAAGACUGAGCUAGAGAUGAAUUCUGGGAAUCAUUCAUGUAUAGAUAGCCAGGAGACUGGAUGAGAUCUAGGGAAUAAAUGCUGAGAAAUGUCAAAGAGACCCUUGGACUAAACCUUGGAGCAAUUCAAUAUUUAGAAGGUGGAUAGUGGAGGAGGAUUCAAUGAAAUAGACUGAGAAGCAGCAUCCAGGGAGGUAGAAAAAUAAUUGGAAGAAUGUGGCAACAAGGAGUCAAGUGACACAAGUGUUUCAAGUGGAGGGCAUGAUCAAUUGUGUCAAAUGUUGCUCUGGGGCUGAUAAAGAAGAGAAUAGAGAAUUGACCAUUUGAUUAGGGUUAUUACCCACUCCCCUCCAGCAUCUGUGAUGAUGGUAGCAGGGUUUUGCUCAAGGGACAAAAGGCAGCAGAUCUGGAAAACCAAAGGAUAAAACAUAUCCUUCAUGCAACUAGACAAUAGACACCUUCUUGAUCUAGAAAAGGAAGAAAUUCCCACCCCCAUCCCAUCCCCCACCAAACCCCAUCCCAGUGGAGGGUAAGUUUCUGAAAUUAGAAAAACCUACAAUGCCUUGUCCUGUAAUUCUGGGCCAGAAGUUCUCAGUUGGACAGGUUAUGACAUUUUGAGUAGGAGAAUUCUGUAAAACUGGCCUUGCCAAUGCAUUACAAGACUUUUGGUAUCCUUGACCAUUGCGUCCCCCAACACUAAAUGCCAAAAUAGUUACACUUACUUUUUAAUGCUCUCCUCUCUACAUGUCCAUUUUUCAUUGUUACCAACUGUAUUUCCAUUUCCUCAGUCUCACUAUUACCUUCCUUCAUACCUUCUUUGAAUGUUUUCUUUUUCAGACAUUUAAUAAUUCAAAUGAAUAAGAAUUAGUGACAUUAUUAUUGGGAUCAAUAAUUGAUGAACUGUAACAAUAGUAGGGAGAUAAUUUGAGGUAAAAUAAACCCUUCAUCUUGUCAAAUAAUAUAAUUCAUUGAACUAUACAUUAAAAAAAUAUUAUCUGCAAGGCUUUGUUCCAAGAGCAGCACAGAGUGCAAAGUGGGAAAUUUUGGUGACUUGAAUUUCAGUGGAAAUGCUGAGCAACUCCUGUUUCUCCCUCCUCUUCCUCCGAAUAAUCUUUAAAAUGUUCUUUUUAGUCUAGCUUUUCUAUCUUUCGCCUUGCUUCCCCAUGUGAUUGCUCAAGAUGAGAGUGAGAAUCUCUCUUAAAAGUCAUCUUAGACAGUCAUCUCUAGUUCUGAGUGACCAGCACUGCUACAAGCUAAUUUAUCCCCAAUUUUACAGUUUGUAUUUGUUAAAAACUUGAGUUUCUGUCAUUCUGUUUGGAUCCUGGGUCCAGUCCUGGCCCUACCCCAUAUUGGUUGUGUCACUUUGUGCCAGGCACUUAGCUUUCUAUGCUUCAGUUUUCCUCAUCUGUAAAAUGGGAAUUCAAUAGUAGUACUAAUCUCAUAGGGUUUUUAUGAGGAUUAAAUAAUAUUCUGUUUAUAAUGACAGUGUCCCAGUGGGGAGCACUAUAAAAUGAGGUUUGCGAAAUAUCACUUUGCACACCAAGAAAAAGUCAUAUUUAUUUCCUCUAAUGAGGACAAGUAUCUCACACUAUUUAGCUUCUUUUGAUUUGGGUGACUUGCAAUCCCAAUCCUCAUUUCCAGAAACUGAAGCAAUGUGUUUCUCUUUUAUGUCAUAAUUUAUUUUUUCACUCUGGUAAAAAAUCAGAGAAAGAAAAUGAUUGAAUUUUGAGUAAAGGUUUUGCACUUUCAGGGCAAACUAGUGCUUAAUAAGAUAAAGUCAUUGAUUCAUAAUGGGGAAAAUAUUAUAUAUUCUGGGUUAGAUUGGUGUAGAUAAAAGUAGAAGUUGAAACCCCUUUGAAAAGGACUACCACUGUAAGCAGUGACCCCAGUGCACAGAAACAAAGAGAGCCCAAAUUAUUUUCUAACCACUUCUCAUUUCAAGGCUCCAGUUAUUUCAAAGAAAAAGUCUAUGAGCAGAGAUGCCGAAACUGAAGAAUGCUGGAGGAGGCUGAUUCUGCAGAGGUUGUUAAAAUGUAGAUUCUAAUGCCCCUUCUCUAAACAUUUUUCUGUGAUUGAGUUGGAGUUCAGAAACUUGCUCUUUUAAAAAGCAUCUAGGCAAUUCUGAUGCAGGUUAUCUCUGAGGUAGAUAUUAGCACACUCUGUAUCCAGACUGCUGGACUCUGUUUCUGAAUAUAUGUGAUGUACAAGUGUUAACAUAAUAGUGAUUUUUUUUCUCUCAUGUUUGUUAUUGUCCAAUGAUCUGGCUAUGCCAUACCACAAAUAUGAAUAACAGUGGGAAAAUGCAGUUAAUUUACAAAAUACAUUCAAAUACACUUAUGUUUGGUAUUAUAUACACAAAAUAUCUGUAUGGAUGAUAGAAUCUUUUUGUUUUCUUUACCAGUAUGUUUUGUGUUUGUUUUAGCAGCCAUUUAAGUGUUUUCUUACUGUCAUUGUGACAAUUAACUUCAUGUGUCAACUUGACUAGGCUGCAGGAUGUGCAGGAGUUUGGUUAAAUGUUAUUCUGGGCAUGUCUGUGAGGGUGAUUCUGGAUGAGAUUCGCAUUUGAAUUAGUACACUGGGUAAAGCCAAUUGUUCUCAAUGUGGAUGGGCCUUAUCCAACCCAGUGGAGGUGAGAGUAGAACAAAAGGCAAAGGAAGGGAGAAUUUGCUCUCUCUGACUGAAUGUUUUUGAGCUGGGACAUCAAUUUUCUCCUAUACUUGGACUUGAACUUACACCAUUGUCUCUCCUAGGUAUUCAUCUUCCAGAAGACAUAUUAUGGGAGCUCUCAGUCUCCAGGAUCAUAAUGCACUCCAUGUAAACAAGAAGACUCAAGAUUUAAGAAACAAGGCCACCAUCACUGGACAUAGAAAAAGAGGAUCCUCAGAAUCAAAUCUAUAGGAAAUUUCAAGGUAGAAGAUACUGCAACAGACUUAGAGAGUGACUAGAUGACUGGCUCAAGAGACCAGAGGGCUCCAGGAGUGACUGUUCUGGGAGGAAGAAAUGGAUUUAACCAAUUACUUGACAUGGAAACUGAAACUGAAUUUGGGAAGAAUUAGGGUUAUUAACAGAAAAGCAAGACAAUUACUAACUUAAGAAAAUAAGCUGAGUAGGAAAGAAAUGUAAUAAUAGCCCAGAUUUGAAAAAAAUAUUUACAUAGUCAUAUUAAUGUGAGCACUGAACACUGAUUUAAUAAAUGAUGGUAAAACAAUAAUGAGAUGAUGUAGGGAGAGAAACACACAUGGCAGAAGUGGUAAAAGUGGGCUAAAUCUUCGCAGUUCAUUAUAGAAAGUCAAUAGAUGAUGUACAGUUGCUAAAUCAAUCACAAAACAGCAGAAUAAUUGUAUAUGAAUUUACUGAAAAAGCUGAACAUUGGUGUGGGCUCCAUUUAAAGGUAGAACUUAAAUUAGGCAAGUGGGAGGAUAAUGGUUAUGUUAGAAAAAGUUACAUAAUAACUAACAAAGAUCAGGAACUGGGAAACGGAGCUAUAAAAAAGUAUACCAAUUUCAAAAUAUUUUAUGAUAGGGAAGAAAUAGGGUGGCCAGAAAAAGGGAAACAAAUAUUUUUUAAAACUGUACAAUCUCCUAAUGUUUUGCAUAAUCUUAUUCCCUUAUCCAUAGAAAUUCUAGAAAUGGAUAGCCCUCAAAUUUUUUGAACAUUGUAUAAAGUUUAGCAAAGUCUUUUAGCUUCAAAAAUUCUUUUGCUUUUUAAAAAUUUUAAGUAAAUAUCAUAUAAUUAUUUAAAUAAAAUUUAAUAUGCUCUGUAUCAAUCUAUCACCUAUCUUAUAUAUCUAAACCAUUUAUCCAUCUAUCUUUUUGUCUGCAUAUGUACUAAUUGAGCAACAUCUAGAAUGAGCUUCACCUAAUGUUAAUGAUGAUGCUUCUAAGUGAUGAGACUUGGAAUUAUUUUUUACACUUGUCUUUUUACUUUUUGUAUUGAUUAGAAUUGUUUAAUAAUAAUUAUAUUCAUAUUAAAGUAUCUUUAGAGUCUUGAAAUUGAAGACUUAUUUUUGAAUGAAUUUUAUGGCUU